CUAGCCGAGUGACCCGGGCAAACACUGGUUUUCGUCCGAACACCGAAGUUAAGCAAUGUCAGGAGCGGUCAGUACUUGGGAGGGUGAUCACUUGGGAACACCGGGUGCUGUAGACA